rnacentral:rRNA from 1 species
GGGCUGCAGUAGGGAAUAUUGGUCAAUGGACGCAAGUCUGAACCAGCCAUGCCGCGUGCAGGAAGACGGCCCUAUGGGUUGUAAACUGCUUUUAUAUAGGAAGAAACCUUUCCACGUGUGGAAAGCUGACGGUACUAUUUGAAUAAGGACCGGCUAACUCCGUGCCAGCAGCCGCGGUAAUACGGAGGGUCCAAGCGUUGUCCGGAUUUAUUGGGUUUAAAGGGUACGUAGGCGGGAUUUUAAGUCAGUGGUGAAAGCCUCCAGCUCAACUGGAGAACUGCCAUUGAAACUGAAAUUCUUGAAUAUGGAUGAGGUGGUUGGAAUAUAACAUGUAGCGGUGAAAUGCUUAGAUAUGUUAUAGAACACCAAUUGCGAAGGCAGAUCACUAAACCAUUAUUGACGCUGAGGUACGAAAGCGUGGGGAGCGAACAGGAUUAGAUACCCGUGUAGUC